rnacentral:rRNA from 1 species
AUUGAACGCUGGCGGCAGGCCUAACACAUGCAAGUCGAACGGUAACAGGAAGAAUCUUGCUUCUUUGCUGACGAGUGGCGGGCGGGUGAGUAAUGUCUGGGAAACUGCCUGAUGGAGGGGGAUAACUACUGGAAACGGUAGCUAAUACCGCAUAACGUCGCAAGGCCAAAGAGGGGGACCUUCUGGGCUCUUGCCAUCGGUUGUGCCCUGUUGGGAUUAGGUAGUAGGUGGGGUAACGGCUCACCUAGGCGACGAUCCCUCCCGGGUCUGUGAGGAUGAACAGCCACACUGGAACUGAGACACGGUCCAGACUCCUACGGGAGGCAGCAGUGGGGAAUAUUGCACAAUGGGCGCAAGCCUGAUGCAGCCAUGCCGCGUGUAUGAAGCAGGCCUUCGGGUUGUAAAGUACUUUCAGCGGGGAGGAAGGGAGUAAAGUUAAUACCUUUACUCAUUGACGUUACCCGCAGAAGAAGCACCGGCUAACUACGUG